UACGUAGGGGGCAAGCGUUGUCCGGAAUCAUUGGGCGUAAAGAGCGUGUAGGCGGCCAGAUAAGUCCGCUGUGAAAUCUCGAGGCUCAACUUCGAGCUGCCGGUGGAAACUGUCUGGCUAGAGUCCGGAAGAGGAGAAUGGAAUUCCUGGUGUAGCGGUGAAAUGCGCAGAUAUCAGGAAGAACACCCGUGGCGAAGGCGGCUCUCUGGGACGGUACUGACGCUGAGACGCGAAAGCGUGGGGAGCGAACAGG
rnacentral:rRNA from 1 species